GUGUUGUAUGAAAGGAGAGAAGGCUAAGGCUAGCACUCCCCCAGACAAGAAUGGAAGAGGCCCUCGGGCCUGACAACACACAAGAUUAUUAAGGCAUUGACACCUACUUCCAAGGACAUUUUAUUAAGUACCUUCU
ensembl:snRNA